UUACUCGGGUUUCUCUUCAUAACGUACAAGUCUUUCGCCUUUUACUAAAGACUUCCGUGGAGUAAAUGCUCCGUACUUGUAUAGCGCCUUUCUAGUCUUUUCGACCACUCAAAG